GCACUAAUGGGGUAGUGGUAACCUCGGAGUUUCCCAUCUUCUGAAGAUACUACUCUGGCCCCGUGUUCGAUUCACGGUUAGUGCA
rnacentral:tRNA from 12 species